rnacentral:rRNA from 1 species
GACAGCAGUCGCCACGGGAAUACGAAGGGGGCUAGCGUUGUUCGGAAUUACUGGGCGUAAAGCGCACGUAGGCGGAUAUUUAAGUCAGGGGUGAAAUCCCAGAGCUCAACUCUGGAACUGCCUUUGAUACUGGGUAUCUUGAGUAUGGAAGAGGUGAGUGGAAUUCCGAGUGUAGAGGUGAAAUUCGUAGAUAUUCGGAGGAACACCAGUGGCGAAGGCGGCUCACUGGUCCAUUACUGACGCUGAGGUGCGAAAGCGUGGGGAGCAAACAGGAUUAGAUACCCCCGUAGUCCCUGUCUCUUAUAC